rnacentral:rRNA from 1 species
GUGAACGCUGGCGGCGUGCCUAACACAUGCAAGUCGAGCGGUCUCACAUGUCGUUUCGUGAGAUAGCGGCAAACGGGUGAGUAACACGUAAGCAACCUGCCCCUAAGGGGGGGAUAACCCCGAGAAAUCGGGGCUAAUACCCCAUAUAAUCACGGAGAGGCAUCUCUCCGGGAUGAAAGACGCAAGUCGCUUAGGGAGGGGCUUGCGGCCUAUCAGCUAGUUGGUGAGGUAACGGCUCACCAAGGCUAUGACGGGUAGCUGGUCUGAAAGGACUGCCAGCCACAGGGGCACUGAGACACGGGCCCCACUCCUACGGGAGGCAGCAGUGGGGAAUAUUGGACAAUGGGCGAAAGCCUGAUCCAGCGACGCCGCGUGGAGGAUGAAGGUCUUCGGAUUGUAAACUCCUUUUGCAGGGGACGAAUUCUGACGGUACCCUGCGAAUAAGCACCGGCUAACUACGUGCCAGCAGCCGCGGUAAUACGUAGGGUGCAAGCGUUACUCGGAUUUACUAGGCGUAAAGCGCGUGUAGGCGGAGUUUUAAGUCCAUCGUGAAAUCUCCCCGCCCAACGGGGAAAGGUCGAUGGAUACUGAAACUCUUGAGUGAGGCAGGGGGAACCGGAAUUCCCCGGUGUAGCGGUGAAAUGCGUAGAUAUCGGGAGGAACGCCGAAGGCGAAAGCGGGUUCCUGGGCCUAUACUGACGCUGAGACGCGAAAGCUAGGGGAGCAAACAGGAUUAGAUACCCUGGUAGUCCUAGCCGUAAACGAUGUAGACUAGGCGUGGGAGGUAUCGACCCCUUCCGUGCCGCAGCUAACGCGUUAAGUCUACCGCCUGGGGAGUACGGCCGCAAGGUUAAAACUCAAAGGAAUUGACGGGGGCCUGCACAAGCGGUGGAUCAUGUGGUUUAAUUCGACGCUACACGAAGAACCUUACCUGGGCUAGAACGGCUGGUGUUGUACUCCGAUGGAAACAUCGGAGGACCCGAUGAGGGACCCAGUCGAGGUGCUGCAUGGUUGUCGUCAGCUCGUGUCGUGAGAUGUUGGGUUAAGUCCCGCAACGAGCGCAACCCCCGCCCUAUGUUGCCAGCGGGUAAUGCCGGGCACUCUUAGGGGACUGCCGGCGACAAGUCGGAGGAAGGAGGGGAUGACGUCAAAUCAUCAUGGCCUUUAUGUCCAGGGCUACACACGUGAUACAAUGGCGUAGACAGCGGGAAGCAAUGGGGCGACCCGGAGCAAAUCCCUUAAACUACGCCUCAGUUCAGAUUGUAGGCUGCAACUCGCCUACAUGAAGGCGGAAUCGCUAGUAAUCGCGCAUCAGCACCGGCGCGGUGAAUACGUUCCCAGGCCUUGUACACACCGCCCGUCAAGGG